rnacentral:rRNA from 1 species
AUGACCUGGGCUACACACGUGCUACAAUGGUUGGUACAACGAGUUGCGAGUCGGUGACGGCGAGGCUAAUCUCCUUAAAGCCAAUCUCAGUUCGGAUUGUAGGCUGCAACUCGCCUACAUGAAGUCGGAAUCGCUAGUAAUCGCGGAUCAGCACGCCGCGGUGAAUAACGUUCCCGGGCCCGUU